GAUGAACGCUGGCGGCGUGCCUAAUACAUGCGAGUCGAGCGAACAGACGAGGAGCUUGCUCCUCUGACGUUAGCGGCGGACGGGUGAGUAACACGUGGAUAACCUACCUAUAAGACUGGGAUAACUUCGGGAAACCGGAGCUAAUACCGGAUAAUAUAUUGAACCGCAUGGUUCAAUAGUGAAAGACGGUUUUGCUGUCACUUAUAGAUGGAUCCGCGCCGCAUUAGCUAGUUGGUAAGGUAACGGCUUACCAAGGCAACGAUGCGUAGCCGACCUGAGAGGGCGAUCGGCCGCACGUGAGCGGGGACACGCUCCAAACUCCUACGGGAGGCAGCAGUAGGAAAUCUUCCGCAAUGGGCGAAAGCCUGACGGAGCAACUCCGCGUGAGUGAUGAAGGUCUUCGGCUCGUAAAUCUUUGUUAUUUGGGAAUAACAAAUGUGUAAGUCACUAUGUACGUCUGGCCGGUACCUAAUCAGAAAGCCACGGCUAACUACUU
rnacentral:rRNA from 1 species